rnacentral:lncRNA from 1 species
AAGAUGUCAAAAGAAAUACUAAAUUCUUACUGAAACCUUGAUAUUUCCUCCUUCACUGUUCUUCUUUUCUUUCCUCCUUCUCUCUCUAAAUCACUCUCUCUCUUUCUCUCUCUAAGUCUUGAAAAAUUGAAGAAUUGAAGUGUGGGAAAGAGUAGGAAUGGAAGACUUAUUUAUAUAAAUUUGGAACCUUUAGGUUUGCGCCAAGUGGUAAAAUCAGAUGAAGAGAGAGAGGACAAAUAUGCUCAAUAUGAAAAUUGAGGGAGGAAGGGCUCCUUAACCAGCAGCAGCAGUGUGCUGCUUGAGGCAACGGUGGUGCACUGCCCGAGGCAACGGCAGUGCGCUGCCCAAGGCAAUGACGACGUACUGCUCAAGACAACAAAGGUGCACCGUCUGAGGCGACAGCGGUGCAUUAUUUGAGGUGGGAGUUGCCCACUCGGUGCGCUGCAGGCAAGCC